UACGUAGGGGGCAAGCGUUGUCCGGAAUCAUUGGGCGUAAAGCGCGUGUAGGCGGCCCGGUAAGUCCGCUGUGAAAGUCGGGGGCUCAACCCUCGGAUGCCGGUGGAUACUGUCGGGCUAGAGUGCGGGAGAGGCGAGUGGAAUUCCCGGUGUAGCGGUGAAAUGCGCAGAUAUCGGGAGGAACACCAAUGGCGAAGGCAGCUUGCUGGGACGGUACUGACGCUGAGACGCGAAAGCGUGGGGAGCAAACAGG
rnacentral:rRNA from 1 species